GUGAGUCAUCGAAUCUUUGAACGCACAUUGCGCCUCCCUUUACCGGGGGGCAUGCCUGUCUGAGCGUCAUUUAAACCUAUGGACCCGACAGGGUUCCGUAUUGGGCCUCGCCUCCUCUCUGAGCGGCGUCGCCUCAAAGGCAUCGGCUUUAUAGAGCGGAUGGGAUCUUUAAUAGACUGGCCGUUCUAUAGCUGGAGUUUGACUCUGAUUUGACCUCAGAUCAGGUAGGGACACCGCCUGAACUUAAGCAUAUCAAUAAGCGGAGGA
rnacentral:misc_RNA from 1 species